GACGAACGCUGGCGGCGUGCUUAACACAUGCAAGUCGAACGGAAAGGCCCUGCUUGCAGGGUACUCGAGUGGCGAACGGGUGAGUAACACGUGGGUGAUCUGCCCUGCACUUCGGGAUAAGCCUGGGAAACUGGGUCUAAUACCGGAUAUUACCUUCCAUGUAGUGUGGGGGGUGGAAAGAUUUAUCGGUGUGGGAUGAGCCCGCGGCCUAUCAGCUUGUUGGUGGGGUAAUGGCCUACCAAGGCGUCGACGGGUAGCCGGCCUGGGAGGGUGGACGGCCACAUUGGGACUGAGAUACGGCCCAGACUCCUACGGGAGGCAGCAGUGGGGAAUAUUGCACAAUGGGCGGAAGCCUGAUGCAGCGACGCCGCGUGGGGGAUGACGGCCUUCGGGUUGUAAACCUCUUUCGACAGGGACGAAGCUUCGGUGACGGUACCUGUAGAAGAAGCACCGGCUAACUACGUG
rnacentral:rRNA from 1 species